rnacentral:rRNA from 1 species
UAGGGAAUUUUUCACAAUGAGCGAAAGCUUGAUGGAGCAAUGCCGCGUGAACGAUGAAGGUCUUUAAGAUUGUAAAGUUCUUUUAUUUGGGAAGAAUGACUUUAGCAGGUAAUGGCUAGAGUUUGACUGUACCAUUUUGAAUAAGUGACGACUAACUAUGUGCCAGCAGUCGCGGUAAUACAUAGGUCGCAAGCGUUAUCCGGAUUUAUUGGGCGUAAAGCAAGCGCAGGCGGAUUGAAAAGUCUGGUGUUAAAGGCAGCUGCUUAACAGUUGUAUGCAUUGGAAACUAUUAAUCUAGAGUGUGGUAGGGAGUUUUGGAAUUUCAUGUGGAGCGGUGAAAUGCGUAGAUAUAUGAAGGAACACCAGUGGCGAAGGCGAAAACUUAGGCCAUUACUGACGCUUAGGCUUGAAAGUGUGGGGAGCGAAUAGGAUUAGAUACCCUAGUAGUCCACACCGUAAACGAUAGAUACUAGCUGUCGGGGCGAUCCCCUCGGUAGUGAAGUUAACACAUUAAGUAUCUCGCCUGGGUAGUACAUUCGCAAGAAUG